rnacentral:rRNA from 1 species
AAUAGAUACCCUGGUAGUCCACGCCGUAAACGAUGAGUGCUAAGUGUUAGAGGGUUUCCGCCCUUUAGUGCUGCAGCUAACGCAUUAAGCACUCCGCCUGGGGAGUACGGCCGCAAGGCUGAAACUCAAAGGAAUUGACGGGGGCCCGCACAAGCGGUGGAGCAUGUGGUUUAAUUCGAAGCAACGCGAAGAACCUUACCAGGUCUUGACAUCCUCUGCCAACCCUAGAGAUAGGGCGUUCCCCUUCGGGGGACAGAGUGACAGGUGGUGCAUGGUUGUCGUCAGCUCGUGUCGUGAGAUGUUGGGUUAAGUCCCGCAACGAGCGCAACCCUUGAUCUUAGUUGCCAGCAUUCAGUUGGGCACUCUAAGGUGACUGCCGGUGACAAACCGGAGGAGGGUGGGGAUGACGUCAAAUCAUCAUGCCCCUUAUGACCUGGGCUACACACGUGCUACAAUGGAUGGUACAAAGAGCUGCGAACCCGCAAGGGUAAGCGAAUCUCAUAAGCCAUUCUCAGUUCGGAUUGU